rnacentral:lncRNA from 1 species
CUUCUGCAUUUUUUUUAAUUUACUCCUUUUGUUUAUUUUUAUUUUUUAAAAAAAUUUGGCCACUGAACUUUUGCGCGUUUCAAUUUAGUCCCUGGCUCGUUAGAAGGGACACGUGUCCAGGGGGUCGGGUUAUUUUCUCAUUUGGUCCUCGUUUGUUUUCGCGCCUUUCGAAUUAGUCAUUUGUUUAUUUUUUAUUUUAGUUUAUCCUGCUAAUUUAAUUUGAGUAUCAAUCGAGUCCUUUAUUCAUUUAAAUUCUUUAUUUAUUUUUGGUAUUAUUUUAUUUUUUAGUUUAUAACUGUUCUCUUUAUUUUUUAUUUUUUAUUGUGUAUCUUUAUUUAUUUUGCUUUAUUAUUUUUACUUUAUUACUCCUUUUUAUAUAUUUGCUUAAAAUUGGAUUGUGUAUAUGUUUAUUAGUUUUUUUUUUUAUCAUUCUUUUACCGUUUAAAAUAUCUAUGCUUAAUACUAUAUAUUUAUUUCAUUUAUUUACUCAUCUAUUUAUCAUUCUUUUACUUUAAAAUAUUUAAAUCUAAUAUUAUGAACAUUUACUUUAUCUAUUUACUUAUUU